CAGCCAGAGUAAAACGUUUUAGAAGGGGGCUGAAAAGUGCUCAACUUAGGGAUUUUACAGACGUCAGAAUGAGUCUUUUUUUGGUCAUUAUAAAUGUGUGUUUUUGGAGUGAGGCUGGACUCUCAAGGAUUAAAUGUUAAAAAAUGAGCGCCCUGUUUUUUUAUUUAUUUUUUAUUUUUAUUUUUAUAGCAUGUCUUACUACAGUGGCCCUUAGAUGCAAAACACAACGGCAAAUCAGAAAACACAACUGGAAACAAAAAAUACAAUGGCAAAAGAGAAAACACGAUGGCAAGUAAGAAAACACGAAACAAAAAGAGAAAACUCAGGGCAAAUAAGAAAAAUACAAUGGCAGAAGAAAAAAAGGAACAUAAAAAGAGAAAACACAACAGCAAAUCGAAGAACAUAACAUAAAAAGAGAAAACACAAAGGUUAAUGUCAUUGUGUUUUCUCUUUUGCUGCUGUAUUUUGUGAUUUGCUGUUGUCUUUUCUCUUUUUUGAUGUGUUUUCUGAUUUGCUGUUGUGUUUUGCACCUCAGGGCCACCGUACAUUUCUACAUUUAUUUUGACUUUUAUUGUGUAGCUGCACACAUUUUCUCUGCAGUAUUUUUUCCUUUGGUCGCUGCGACUACCUUCUUCAACAACCUCAAAAAGAAAAAUCUGUUAAAAAAAAAAAUCUCGUUUUAAAACUUUAGAAAAUCUGUCUUUCUUCUCAUCUUAAAAUGCUUUUAGACGUUUGGGUUAAAGUUGAGGUGAAUCACCAAAUGUUUUCAGGCAGAGGGAAAUGCUCUGAUUCAGGUUUACCUCCUAUAUUGACAAUAAAAAACAAAAUAAACAUAAAAUUGCGGUUAAUUUUAUUCUGCUUGUUCAGGGACCAUUGCCUGCUCCGGUUAAUGUAAACAGAUAGAGGUCAGCUCUCUAUUAGCUCUUCUACAAACAAUAGCGGUGUUGGUUUUGUUCUGUCUUUUUCAAUAUAAUUGGCUUGGGUUAAUCAGUGCUCCACGCUGAUAACUGAUUACAAUUUACUUUAGAUGAUUUAUAGUCACACAUUUAGAGAUGAAAAUUGAAUCAAAUAAGGAAUAUUUUCAUUUUAAAUCCACAACAAAAAGGAAAACAGGAGCUUGUUUUGUCUGGAUAGUGUCCGUUUACAUCUGCAUCAUUGUCAUCGUGUUGGAGUCGAGUCUUGAUGGAGGCUGAACUGAGUCUUGAAUCCUCAGUGUUCAGGUCUGUGACGAAUCUGAGUGUCCAUUUACUAGUCCCAAUCAAGUCUGAGUCCAGCUGCCAUUAUUAAUAUCUUUAUCUAUUAUAAGGAGGAUCGGCGUUUCACUCUUAAGUAUGGAGUCGACACGUUUUUAAAUAAGCUCCUCCUAAACCGCAGACUGUUAAAUCUGUCAAGUCUUGUAAACUUAAUAUCUUCACAUUAAUAUUCACUUCACAGUAGCUUAUUGGAUUACGACAGACAUCCUCCCAGUAAGCACUUUUUUGAUUUUUUUUAUAUUGUGAUAUAUAUCAAUAUCGACUGAUAAGGAAAAAAAUAUAUUCUGAUAAACUUUUUUUCUAUAUCGCCCAGCCCUACCUUCCAUACACAGUGCUGACAAUGCACUGCUUCCCCUCAUGAUAGACAGACAGACAGACAGACUUAAUUGAUCCCAAACUGGGAAAUUCUCAGAGACACCGGACGGUGGUCCAGAACCUCUUUGACGCUGUCUUGAAGUCAUUCUUCGUGGUCUCACCGAACUCUUCCCAUGUCCGGGUUUUUCUGACUGAACUCUUUCUUUAGCCUUUAGUCAUGAGCUGCUGGUAGUGAUAGAAAGAGCAAGAUCGCGGGUACAAGCGGCCUGGAUGCCUCUCGGAUGCCUCGCUGGUGAGGUGUUCAGGGAACGUCCUACCAGUAGGAAACCACUGGGAAGACCCAGGACAUGCUGGAGAAACUAGCUUUCUCAGCUGGCCUGGGAAUGUCCCAUAGGAAGAGCUGGACGAAGUGGCCGGGGAAAGGAAAGUCUGUCCCCAUAACCCAACUCUAGAUAUGCAGUAGAAGAUGGAUGGAUGAAGGUCAAGUUAAGUCCAAGGCCUGGAUUCCAGUGCCUCAACAAAGUCGCCAAAGCCCAUUGGCUGACUCAGAGCUUCCUGUAUCAUUUGUUCAACAUACUUCUGUAGAUUUUCAUGUUUUCCGUGAUUUACCAUGAAUGUACGAACAUGAUCUGUAACAUCUGUGAGCCUGCUGUUAACAAAGAGAGAAAACGUAGUCGUACUAUUUCUGCGUCGGACACCAUGUGGAGCGUUAACAUGGGUUUGAUUCGACGAGGUUGAUUAGCAUGUCUUUAUUAAAGUGGGACGAGAAAUUUAGGGAAGUUUUACAUGUCGGGGAGAUGAAGCGAGGACGGGUCCAAACAUGGCAACAUGGAGGGGAGGAUUAGCCUUUUGUUAAUGAGGAUUACUGCGUAAACCGGUGAAAGGCAACUAAGCCGAGCACCAUCGUCAUCAAACCGAUUUAGUUCCUGGCUCCUAUUUAGAAGGAUUAGCUCACAAUGUUAUUGUAAUGACAAUUGUUUUAGCAGUGAGACUGUUGAAGCUAUUCUCGUCUUAUUUCAUAUGCAGCUGCUCACGUUAGCAUGUUUGCUCUUUUGGUCAGAGCAUUAAACGCCACUAAAAGUAAAAGCCAGGAACUAAAAAAGAAGAACUAGAAAUGACUCAAACUUCUUCCUCUACGUUGGAAGAUUAACCUGAGCGAUGUUGUCUCCUCUCUCCCUCUGAGAAAGCUGCUGCGUUUCGCCUCAGUUUGGUUUCCACACGGGAGAAGGACAAAGGUUUAAAGGGAGGGAGGAUUUCCAAAAGAUAAUUAAGGAGGAAAAAACAGAGAAACUAUUGAAGGAGGCGUGGAGGAGGGAUUUGGAGCAGGGAGGAUAACAGAGGAGCGGAAGCUACCUUUGUUGUGUUUCGAACAAGUGGAUCUACUCAACUGCUUCUCCGACGCCAUGAAUAUGUAUUAUAUCAGGUUAUUCAUCCGCCGCCAUUGUUCCGCCCGCAAAUGAUGUCCCAACAGAGGAACACAGAGCGAAGACAAAGGAAAUUUGGGCAAAAUAAAACUGUCACAAAAACAAAAAAAAAACCACAGAGCUGUUCUUUUCAUGUCCACGCAGGUUCUUUUGUGGCGACGGAGGAAUCUUCAGAGAUGACUCACUUUUAUUCCAGCGCAUAAUGCCACCUUUUGAAGAGACGGCUCUAAUUAACAUCCAUUUGAAUAAUCAGAUUACUCCACAUUCUUGAAAUGUGCUGGUGAGAAAGCAGGAAUAUAUAGCCUCAUUGUGCACUAAUACAGCAAAGGUGGAAUGGAAAAUACUUCACGUUAAACCUCCUUUUUACUGAAAGAUGUGCAAACUAAUUAAGUGGCUUUACUGCUGGAUGAUUUCAAAAAGUCCUAAAACAUCAUUUUUAGUUUUCUUUGCCUUUGUCUGAUUUUUGGACAGUUUCUGCAUGGCCCUAUAGUUGGUCAUGUAAGUCCAUAUGUUAGUUUUUCCUGUUUGAAAUAUCUUAUCCCUUACUAGACGAAGCUUAAAUGUUUAAAAUGAUUGAUUUAGUUAUUCAUAAGAAAGACUGAGAACCCUUUACUUUAGCUGACAUCUCUUGCAGCGGUUUGAGUGGACUGAAUGAUUGGGCUUUAAUAAGUUACAAAGUUUGUAUACAUGAUAACCUGAAACACAAAUAUAAGUUUUUUCAAUUUUUUUAGCUCUGACAGCAUUUAGUAAAGACUUUUGUUCAAUUUUUGCAUGACUGUUAGAGCCCAAUAUGCAACAAUGGCCUGAAAUGUGAUUAAAAGAUAUGUAAUAAAAUCUAAAAUGUAAUAACUGAUCAAUAAUGUAAGAAAAUGCUGAAUCCAAAACUUUUUGCCCAAAAUGAAGCAAUUUUGUGUCAGUUAUUAUGUUUUGGGUUUUAUUACAUCAUAUUUAUAACAUUUCAGGUCAACACUUUUGUUACGCUUUUGAAAAAUUUUUACAUUUCGGACUUUUUAGCAUUUUUUUAAAUAACAAUAAAAGUUAAAAUGUUGACUACACAGACAAAAACACAGCGAUAUCCUUAUAUUCCCAAAUGUCAUCAAUAACUAAUAGCUAUUGACUGAUAUUAAAAGCUUUUUUUGUAAAUACACCAAUAAAAAGAUGCUUCCUUAACAAAAAUCCUGCCUCCCUCCACCUUUAAGUUUAGGCGAGCUCCUGUGACUUCGAUCCGUUGGUGUCAGGGGGUCUUGAAACUCAGUCUUGACCAUUUGGAGGCAGUUUUACGCAAAUUAAGUUGUUAUAAGAGAGGACAUCGUCAUCAACGAAUUGGCGCACUUUAACUAAUUGCUUUGAAUGUGAUUAAUACAUAUAAGCUUAAAAAAAAACCUAAUUUAGUCAAUCAAUAUGACUUUGGGUUUACUUAUUAAAUGUAUUAAAGCGCUAAUAUACGGAUAAUAAUAGAAAAAUAGACAAACAGUGAAGAGUGUGUCUACCAUUACCAAACAGAACAAUGAACAUGGCGCACACACUCACACACACACACACACACAUUCACACACUGCUCUGGUGCAAACACAAUAAUAUAGGUAACACUCACCUAGAGGGACCAGAGGAACAAGGGGCUAAUUAGUGAUGAUGAGAAGUUAAUUUAGUCAGACACCUCAGGUAAUAGUCUCCCCCCUCCUGUCUUCAUCUCCCUCUGUCUCCCCCCUCUUCCUCAAUCAUCCCCCGCUCUACAUAUUGCUUUUUACUCUCCCCCUUAACCAUUUUCAUGUUGGAGAAAAAAAAGGUGUCAAAUGUUCAGUUUUGUGCUUUUUUCUUCCCCCCUUGGUGUCUUUCUACCCCUCCGUCUUUCUCUCCAUCAAACACACGUCCUCUUGUAUCCUUCAGAGAUCUGAGGCGCUGCAAAGCAGGUGAGAUUGUCAAGUCGUCUAAGUGGGAAAUUACAUUAUCUUUCGCUUUGACAUUGCUGAAUUGUGUUGCUGUGUGUGUGUGUGUGUGUGUGUGUAGAUGUGUGUGUGAGACAGAGAGACAGGAGUGAGCAGGCAAGAUGGUUCCUGAGCUAAAUGUUUGCUAGCAGGUGAGCCUGUUGUUGACAGAUGGUGUUUGUGAGAGAAGCUCACUCCCUGCAGAGUCUCACCCCAGGAAAACGCUCAUGCUAACGCAGACAGGCCCACUAUACACACACACAGACACACAAAAGUAUACUUGCGCACACACAGAGCGCUAACACACAGUCACUAGGUCUCUGAGUGGAUUAUAACCUGUUCAAUUUGUGUUGUUCACAGCACAGCCAGGUGAGACAGACCACAAAAGGAAACAGAAAGUACAAGAGAAAUGAAGCUACAACUACGACAAACAUGAACGAUACAGAAACGACAAAAACUGUCUUUACCAUGAGCCGCAGCCUCUUUUAACCAACUAUUUACAAUAAAACUGAGACUCUCCACAAACAGCCAGCAGGAGGAGCUCUACUGUUUUCGCUCUACAACCCCAGUUCCUAAAAAUUGGGAUGUUGUGUUGGACGCUGGUAAAGAUUCGCAACAUUGGUUAUAAAGAGCAAAGUCCAGUGAGGUUCACCACUCUGUGAGAAACUGUGGGAGCACAUUGUUCAACAUUUCCAGAUCCUCUAAAAUCCACCGUCUGUAGUUUACCUGCAACCGUAUUAUGCAAGGAAGAAACAUUUUAUAAACAUGAUCUAGUAAUUCAAAAUUUGACUUUUGAAUUUGAGAACCACCCA